CAGUAGAACGCUGAAGGAAGGAGCUUGCUCUUUCCGGAUGAGUUGCGCAUGGAUGAGUAACGCGUAGGUAACCUGCCUGGUAGCGGGCGAUAACUAUUGGAAACGAUAGCUAAUACCGCAUAACAGUAGAUGUUGCAUGACAUUUACUUGAAAGGUGCAAAUGCACCACUACCAGAUGGACCUGCGUUGUAUUAGCUAGUUGGUGAGGUAACGGCUCACCAAGGCGACGAUACAUAGCCGACCUGAGAGGGUGAUCGGCCACACUGGGACUGAGACACGGCCCAGACUCCUACGGGAGGCAGCAGUAGGGAAUCUUCGGCAAUGGACGGAAGUCUGACCGAGCAACGCCGCGUGAGUGAAGAAGGUUUUCGGAUCGUAAAGCUCUGUUGUAAGAGAAGAACGAGUGUGAGAGUGGAAAGUUCACACUGUGACGGUAUCUUACCAGAAAGGGACGGCUAACUACGUGCCAGCAGCCGCGGUAAUACGUAGGUCCCGAGCGUUAUCCGGAUUUAUUGGGCGUAAAGCGAGCGCAGGCGGUUAGAUAAGUCUGAAGUUAAAGGCUGUGGCUUAACCAUAGUACGCUUUGGAAACUGUUUAACUUGAGUGCAGAAGGGGAGAGUGGAAUUCCAUGUGUAGCGGUGAAAUGCGUAGAUAUAUGGAGGAACACCGGUGGCGA
rnacentral:rRNA from 1 species